AGUCAUAUGCUUGUCUCAAAGAUUAAGCCAUGCAUGUCUCAGUAUAAGCUUCUAUACGGCAAAACUGCGAAUGGCUCAUUAAAACAGUUAUAGUUUAUUUGAUGGUCAUUCUUUACAUGGAUAACCGUGGUAAUUCUAGAGCUAAUACAUGCGCCCAAACCCGACUCCGUGGAAGGGUUGUGUUUAUUAGUUACAGAACCAACCCAGGCUCUGCCUGGUCUUGUGGUGAUUCAUAAUAACCAAACGAAUCGCAUGGCAUCAGCUGGCGAUGAAUCAUUCAAGUUUCUGACCUAUCAGCUUCCGACGGCCACGGUAUUGGCCUACCGUGGCAAUGACGGGU
rnacentral:rRNA from 1 species